AUCUCAAACCGAUCUCUCUCUCUCUCGCACUAUCUUCCCUCUCCUCAAACUGAUCUCUCUCUCUCUCACUCUCGCUCUCACUCUCACUCUCGCACUGUCUUCCCUCUCUUCACCGAUCUCUAUACUCUUCGACCUCUUUACUCUCCGAUCUGUCUCUCUCUCUCUCGCUCUCCGUCUAUAUACACAUCAUAUAUAUAUAUACACUUUGAUUUUUUGUUUAUUUUUCUGUUUGUUGAUGUGGAGGUGAUCGCGAUUUUUCAAACUCAGGUCUCGCGAUGGCUUCAAACCGGAUCUUCAAAGAACUCAAGCAUCUCCAGAUCUUCAAACAACUCAAGUUAUCGCCUUCGUGGUGGAGUGAAAAGCCUGCCAAACUUGUCGGCCUAGGUAUUAAUGAACCUGUUUGCUUUAUCAACAUUUGAUGCAUCAGCCAAAAAAGUAAUUAAUUAGCUUGAAGUAA